UACAGAGGUGCCAAGCGUUAGGCGGAAUCACUGGGCUUAAAGCGCGUGUAGGUGGGUCGUUAAGUGUCCGCGUGAAAUCCCACGGCUCAACCGUGGAACUGCCGGGCAUACUGGCGAUCUUGAGGCAUUCAGGGGCGAGCGGAACAAAUGGUGGAGCGGUGAAAUGCGUAGAUAUCGUUUGGAACGCCAAUGGUGAAAACAACUUGCUGGGGGUGUGCUGACGCUGAGACACGAAAGCCAGGGGAGCAAACGGG
rnacentral:rRNA from 1 species